CGGUGAAAGACAGUGAUUUACUGCUUCGGGGGGCAUGCGUGUGGAUGAUUAAGGGAUGUAAGUUCAGGACUCCAAGAUUUAUUUCCUCCCUGUUCCAGUGGGGAUGGCGGAAGAGAAUGAGUAAUGGGAUAACUUAUAGCACCACAGGCCCUUCGUCAAGAGACCGCCAGUCAAAACAGGAAGAUAAAAUUCAGAAGAUUUCUACAGGGAGAAAGCCAUAUUGAUACUCCCUGGGCCGUCCUCUGUCUGGCAAGCAUUAGGGUCUCCAGAAGGUUCCUCUGUGACCUUUGCAAGGAGAGUUUCCACCCAAAAGGUUUCCCAGACACUCAAGUAAUGGAGCAUCAGACGGAUGAGGAACUGGAUGCGGAACCCAGAAGGCUAGACCACAGGCAGAGGGUAUCCUUCCUGAAGAUGCCUGGCUGAACACAGUCUCCUCCCUGGGACAUCCCGGAAAACAUCCCCUUGUCCACUGCUGAGCCUUCUGUCACCCAUCCCUCUAGCUGACCUCAAAAAAGAAGUAUAUGGCCACCAAUG